rnacentral:misc_RNA from 1 species
GAUGAAGAACGUAGCGAAAUGCGAUAGUAAUGUGAAUUGCAGAAUUCAGUGAAUCAUCGAAUCUUUGAACGCACAUUGCGCCCGCCAGUAUUCUGGCGGGCAUGCCUGUUCGAGCGUCAUUUCAACCAUCAAGCCCUGCUUGCGUUGGGGUCCUGCGGCUGCCCGCAGGCCCUGAAAACCAGUGGCGGGCUCGCUAGUCACACCGAGCGCAGUAAUACAUCUCGCUUUGGGCGUGCGGCGGGUUCUUGCCGUUAAACACCCCCUUUUUACCAAGGUUGACCUCGGAUCAGGUAGGAAUACCCGCUGAACUUAAGCAUAUCAUAAGCGGAGGA